AUUGAACGCUGGCGGCAGGCCUAACACAUGCAAGUCGAGCGGAUGAAGGGAGCUUGCUCCUGGAUUCAGCGGCGGACGGGUGAGUAAUGCCUAGGAAUCUGCCUGGUAGUGGGGGAUAACGUCCGGAAACGGGCGCUAAUACCGCAUACGUCUUGAGGGAGAAGGGGGGGAAUCUUCGAACCUCCCCCAACCGGUUGACCCUAGGUCGGAUUAGCUAGUUGGUGGGGUAAAGGCCUACCAAGGCGACGAUCCGUAACUGGUCUGAGAGGAUGAUCAGUCACACUGGAACUGAGACACGGUCCAGACUCCUACGGGAGGCAGCAGUGGGGAAUAUUGGACAAUGGGCGAAAGCCUGAUCCAGCCAUGCCGCGUGUGUGAAGAAGGUCUUCGGAUUGUAAAGCACUUUAAGUUGGGAGGAAGGGCAGUAAGUUAAUACCUUGCUGUUUUGACGUUACCAACAGAAUAAGCACCGGCUAACUUCGUG
rnacentral:rRNA from 1 species